rnacentral:rRNA from 1 species
GUGCCAGCAGCCGCGGUAAUACGUAGGGGGCGRCGUUGUCCGGAAUUAUUGGGCGUAAAGCGCGCGCAGGCGGUCUCUUAAGUCUGAUGUGAAAGCCCACGGCUCAACCGUGGAGGGUCAUUGGAAACUGGGGGACUUGAGGGCAGGAGAGGAGAGCGGAAUUCCACGUGUAGCGGUGAAAUGCGUAGAGAUGUGGAGGAACACCAGUGGCGAAGGCGGCUCUCUGGCCUGCACCUGACGCUGAGGCGCGAAAGCGUGGGGAGCAAACAGGAUUAGAUACCCUGGUAGUCCACGCCGUAAACGAUGAGUGCUAAGUGUUAGAGGGGUCACACCCUUUAGUGCUGCAGCUAACGCGAUAAGCACUCCGCCUGGGGAGUACGGCGCAAGGCAUGAAACUCAAAGGAAUUGACGG